rnacentral:lncRNA from 1 species
CAGGACUUGCACUGUGUUUGACAGUGUUUUGAAAUGGGCUCCAUCCACAUGUGCUGUCCUCAAGCCCAGCCAGCUGCUUCCUCUGCAAGCGUCAUGCAGAUUGCUCUCUGUGGGCAUCGUAGACCACGCUAAGCACCGGGAGCCUUCUGGGAAGAAGCUACUGUCAGAGAAGAAACUGGUGCCUGUGUAAUGCAUACGUGAAGGCCAGAAGACAAAUUCUGUCAUCCUCGGGAGCACUGUCUACUUCCUUUAAUGGAGUCUCUCAUCGGCCACCACAGUGACUCCUUAUAUGGGCUCUGGGACCAAACCCAUGAGGCUGCUACAGGAUGUUUUUCUUCUGUUUACAAGAACCUUUCAUGGCUUGGCUUGGCUUUUCAAGACAGGGUUUCUCUGUGUAACAGCUUUGGCUAUCCUGGAGCUCAAAUAAAUCCUCCUGCCUCUGCCUCCAGAGUGCUGGGAAUAAAAGUGUGUGCUGCCACUGCCACCCC